rnacentral:lncRNA from 1 species
UGCUGUGCCUGAGUCUACCUUUACUAGCCGUUACCGGCCUCCGUUCCCCUCCCUAGCGGCGCCUGCCCCGCCUUGCAUUCCCAAGCUCCGCCCCCCUUGCCCCUAGCGGCUGUUUGUUGACUUCCGGGAGCGCGGUUGUCCGUUGAUUCGCCAGGCGGAACUGGGGGGCUUUUGCGGCCGGCGUCGGGGCGGAGUAGCUGCCUUAGCCCCGACCAAACCGUCCUCUACAGCCUCCUGGCCCAGGCGCAGGCUGCCCGUACCGCCCUUGGCAUGAAGGAGCCCGAAGAGCCGUUGCCCGAACGCUGGAGGUUCCUUGGAAAAACUGGACCAGAGAAAAUCCAAAUUGACUGAUAGAGACUCUCCCCAUAGAUAUCCUGAGUGAAGUUAAUGAGGAAGCUAAGUACUGUCCUGUUUUUGUGUUUCGAGAAAAGCUCUCAGUCAGAGGCCAGACCAUGAGGUGUUAACCAGAGCAAGACUAGCACAAAUUGUACCAUUUCAUUCCAGGGAAUAGACAUCUACUUGGUGACAGCAGAACUAUUAGUAAUAGAUGACUGCCUUCCUUGUGAUAGUGUAUUUCUUACUUUGUGCCAGUAUAUGAGUAAUACAUGUUCAAUCUAGUAGAUUUCAGAGGUAAAACUAUAAUGGAGUCUGAGGAAUAAGAAAGACUGAAUUAAGGUGGAAGAAGGAAGGCUUAAACAUUGCCAGAGUGGGGGCAAAGCUGUCAUGAAACAAGAGGUUUGUAUGGAUAAUUACUAAAAGGUAUUUAAAUAACAGGCAACAUAAGUUAAAGUUAUAAAAUAGAGACCAUCUUAUAUUUGCAGAUUCGGGUGCUGUGUUUACAUUUGGGAAAAGUAAAUUUGCUGAAAAUAAUCCCAGUAAAUUCUGGUUUAAAAAUGAUGUCCCUGUACAUCUUUCAUGUGGAGAUGAACAUACUGCUAUUGUUACCGGUUAGUAUUACAAUCCUGAAUGAGGACAGUAAUACUUAGAAAAUUCUAAAUAUAAUGUUAUAGAUACGCUGCUGUGUUUUAAACAUGUUGAAAAUAUAUCAUAAAAAAGCAACAUCUCUAAGUGAUUGGCAUAUGGGCUGCAAAAGAUGACUGCUAUGAUUCUUGGUCAUCCACAG